rnacentral:rRNA from 1 species
CGGACGGGUGAGUAAAGCAUCGGAACGUACCCAGUUGUGGGGGAUAGCCCGGGGAAACCCGGAUUAAUACCGCAUACGCCCUGAGGGGGAAAGCAAGGGAUCUUCGGACCUUGCGCGAUUGGAGCGGCCGAUGUCGGAUUAGCUAGUUGGUGGGGUAAAGGCCUACCAAGGCGACGAUCCGUAGCUGGUCUGAGAGGAUGACCAGCCACAUCGGGACUGAGACACGGCCCGAACUCCUACGGGAGGCAGCAGUGGGGAAUUUUGGACAAUGGGGGCAACCCUGAUCCAGCAAUGCCGCGUGUGUGAAGAAGGCCUUCGGGUUGUAAAGCACUUUCAGUCGGGAAGAAAUAGCACGCUCUAACAGGGCGUGUGACUGACGGUACCGACAGAAGAAGCACCGGCUAACUACGUGCCAGCAGCCGCGGUAAUACGUAGGGUGCGAGCGUUAAUCGGAAUUACUGGGCGUAAAGGGUGCGCAGGCGGCCAUGUAAGACAGGUGUGAAAUCCCCGGGCUUAACCUGGGAAUUGCGCUUGUGACUGCAUGGCUAGAGUACGGCAGAGGGGGGUGGAAUUCCACGUGUAGCAGUGAAAUGCGUAGAGAUGUGGAGGAACACCGAUGGCGAAGGCAGCCCCCUGGGCCGAAACUGACGCUCAUGCACGAAAGCGUGGGGAGCAAACAGGAUUAGAUACCCUGGUAGUCCACGCCCUAAACGAUGUCGACUAGUCGUUCGGAGAGGUUACUUUCUGAGUGACGCAGCUAACGCGUGAAGUCGACCGCCUGGGGAGUAUGGUCGCAAGAUUAAAACUCAAAGGAAUUGACGGGGACCCGCACAAGCGGUGGAUGAUGUGGAUUAAUUCGAUGCAACGCGAAAAACCUUACC